rnacentral:tRNA from 1 species
UCCUGUGUGGCGCAGCUGGUAGAGCAUGGCACUUGCAAUGUCAGUGUUGUGGGUUCAAUUCCCACAGUGGGAC